rnacentral:sRNA from 1 species
AAUUAUUAUUUUACCAUUUUCGUUGGUUUAAAGUUUGAACUCUGGACUUGGUAAAUUAAAUCCUCAAUUUUAUGUUGAUUUUCAAUUUAAAUUCUCGUUAACUAAGCCAAUUGAGGCACAAA